GCCUGCCUGCUCAUCCACCUCCUCCAGCCAUGGAUCUCCCGGAGCUCCAGGCACAGGGAGCAGCUCCUGGGCUGGGCUGGUCCAGCUGGUACUGUUAUCCUGGCAGGCUAAUAUUGGCUUUUAAGGGAAGAGAAACUCCAGGAAAAAUCAGGACUCGUUGGCAGGAUGGACCUUCUGUGAGAAAUCCCAGCCAGGGGUGCCAGGAUCACUCUGGAGCUGAAGUUUGGGAAGCAGUUUGGGCAAAUGAGGAGGUUGACCAGGAGGUUGCCACGUUCACUCCUUCCUUCCACCUCCACCACGUCCCUGGGCAGCCCCUUGCCAUGCCUGGCCACCCUUUCCAUGGAGAAAUUCCUGUUGAUGCUCCAGAGGAUGCUGCACUGGGCCUUCCAAGAGAUCCCUCUGCCAUUUGCAACACAUGUGCAGUUGAAUUUUGUCUGACUGUCAAUAAACCCACAGGACAUAAUUACACCCCAAAAUUCCCCAGACUUGAAAGCCUGACCGUCCCUGCCUUGUUCUCCACGAGCUGUAACUCAAUGUAAACCCCUCUGUCUCUCUCCAUUUUCCAGUUCUUUCAUUCAUUCCUGCUGAGUAAUUAAAAAUGGCUUCUAAAUAAACAGCGGGGAUGAUUUCCGAAAA